AACUGCGAUAAGUAGCGUGAAUUGCAGACGCUUUGAACGUUAAACUUUCGAACGCACAUCGCGCCGUAGGAGUCCUACCCUGCGGCACAUCUGGUUGAGGGUCGUGAUCAAAAACAGCAGGACUAUGGCCGUAAUAGAAAUAGCUGGUGAAUCACGAGUUCGGCCUACCGCCUCUGGCUGAACGUGUUUUGCCAUAAUGCUAGAAGAGGACAAUCGCUCGCAAGAGAGAUUGCCUACCACACGGAUGAUCUAUUAGCUGAAGCAAUAGGUCUCGGUCACCGGGUAUCAUGCUUAACUAUAUACUCUGUGGCGUCUGAGAUACAGCUAGUGGGCUUCAUACGUGCCUGGUAUUGAGAGUAUUCGCUCUCCCGACCUCAACUCAGGUGUGAUUACCCGCUGAACUUAAGC
rnacentral:misc_RNA from 1 species